rnacentral:tRNA from 2 species
GUGUCCAUAGCUCAGUCGGUAGAGCAGCGGCCUUCUAAGCUGCCGGUCACUGGUUCGAUUCCAGUUGGACACCCCA